rnacentral:misc_RNA from 1 species
AAUUCUCAACUUCAAUAGCUUUUACUAGCUUAUUGAUGCUUGGAUGUGGGAGCUUGCUGGCGUCUUAAGAUGUUCGGCUCUCCUUAAAGUUAUUAGUGGAAACCUCUUUGUUGGUUUAUUCCUUAGUGUGAUAAUUAUCUACGCUAUGAAUAAUCUAAUGUUCCAUUGAGACUUGGGAUUUCUCAGUAGAAAUACUGGUUUGGGUACUGCAAUUAAAUUUGCUGUAUCUGUAAUCUCUCAGUAGCAAUACUGGUCUGGGUAUUGCAAUUAAAUUUGCUUUGCCUGUAGUCUCAGAGGAAAAGAAAAGUUCUGCUUUCUAACCGUCUAUGUAUAUAGACAAUUUAUUGACU